UGGGGAAUUUUGGACAAUGGGCGAAAGCCUGAUCCAGCAAUGCCGCGUGUGUGAAGAAGGCCUUCGGGUUGUAAAGCACUUUUGUCCGGAAAGAAAUCCUUGGCUCUAAUACAGUCGGGGGAUGACGGUACCGGAAGAAUAAGCACCGGCUAACUACGUGCCAGCAGCCGCGGUAAUACGUAGGGUGCAAGCGUUAAUCGGAAUUACUGGGCGUAAAGCGUGCGCAGGCGGUUUGCUAAGACCGAUGUGAAAUCCCCGGGCUCAACCUGGGAACUGCAUUGGUGACUGGCAGGCUAGAGUAUGGCAGAGGGGGGUAGAAUUCCACGUGUAGCAGUGAAAUGCGUAGAGAUGUGGAGGAAUACCGAUGGCGAAGGCAGCCCCCUGGGCCAAUACUGACGCUCAUGCACGAAAGCGUGGGGAGCAAACAGGAUUAGAUACCCUGGUAGUCCACGCCCUAAACGAUGUCAACUAGUUGUUGGGGAUUCAUUUCCUUAGUAACGUAGCUAACGCAUGAAGUUGACCGCCUGGGGAGUACGGUCGCAAGAUU
rnacentral:rRNA from 1 species